GACGAACGCUGGCGGCGUGCUUAACACAUGCAAGUCGAACGAAGUGGCGAACGGGUGAGUAACGCGUAAUCAACCUGCUCUUCCGAGGGGGACACAAGUUGGAAAAGACUGCUAAUACCGCAUAAUGAAGGAGGGGAUUGCGUCUGAUUAGCUAGUUGGAGUGGUAACGGCCCACCAGGGCGGUGAUCAGUAGCCGGUCUGAGAGGCUGAACAGCCACAUUGGGACUGAGACACGGCCCAGACUCCUCCGGGAGGCAGCAGUGGGGAAUCUUCCGCAAUGGACGAAAGUCUGGCGGAGCAACGCCGCGUGAGUGAUGACGGCCUUCGGGUUGUAAAGCUCUGUUAAUCGGGACGCGGUACCGGAAUAGAAAGCCACGGCUAACUACGUGCCAGCAGCCGCGGUAAUAC
rnacentral:rRNA from 1 species